rnacentral:rRNA from 1 species
UACGUAGGGGGCAAGCGUUGUCCGGAUUUAUUGGGCGUAAAGAGCGUGUAGGCGGUCAGGUAGGUCCGUUGUGAAAACUCGAGGCUCAACCUCGAGACGCCGAUGGAAACCAUCUGACUAGAGUCCGGAAGAGGAGAGUGGAAUUCCUGGUGUAGCGGUGAAAUGCUUAGAUAUCGUCAAGAACACCGAUAGCGAAGGCAGCUUACUAGGCUGUAACUGACGCUGAGGCACGAAAGUGUGGGGAUCAAACAGG